rnacentral:rRNA from 1 species
ACGGGAGGCAGCAGUAAGGAAUAUUGGACAAUGGCCGCAAGGCUGAUCCAGCCAUCCAGCGUGCAGGAAGAAGGCCCUAUGGGUUGUAAACUGCUUUUGUCAGGGAAUAAACCUCUGGAUUUACUCCGGAGCUGAAGGUACCUGAAGAAUAAGCACCGGCUAACUCCGUGCCAGCAGCCGCGGUAAUACGGAGGGUGCGAGCGUUAUCCGGAAUUACUGGGUUUAAAGGGUGCGUAGGCGGCCAAGUAAGUCAGGAGUGAAAGUUUGCGGCUCAACCGUAAAAUUGCUUUUGAUACUGCUUAGCUAGAAUUAGGAUGAGGUUAGCGGAAUGUGGCAUGUAGCGGUGAAAUGCAUAGAUAUGCCAUAGAACACCAAUUGCGAAGGCAGCUGGCUAGACCUAUAUUGACGCUGAGGCACGAAAGCGUGGGGAGCGAACAGGAUUAGAUACCCUGGUA